GUGCUACUCCCUCCGUUCCAAAAUUUUUGUCUUAGAUUUGUCUAAAUAUGAAUGUAUCUAGUCACGUUUUUGUAUUUAGAUACAUUUAUUUGUACAUAAACCUAAGACAAGAAUUUUGAGACGGAGGGAGUAUUUU
rnacentral:pre_miRNA from 1 species